UACGUAGGGGGCAAGCGUUGUCCGGAUUUAUUGGGCGUAAAGAGCGUGUAGGCGGCCACACAGGUCUGCUGUGAAAACUCGAGGCUCAACCUCGAGCUGUCGGUGGAAACCGUGUGGCUAGAGUCCGGAAGAGGAGAGUGGAAUUCCCGGUGUAGCGGUGAAAUGCGUAGAUAUUGGGAGGAACACCAGUGGCGAAGGCGACUGCCUGGACGGCACCUGACGCUGAGGCGCGAAAGCUAGGGGAGCAAACGGG
rnacentral:rRNA from 1 species